UACGUAGGGUGCGAGCGUUGUCCGGAAUUAUUGGGCGUAAAGAGCUUGUAGGCGGUUUGUCGCGUCUGCUGUGAAAAUCCGGGGCUCAACCCCGGACUUGCAGUGGGUACGGGCAGACUAGAGUGUGGUAGGGGAGACUGGAAUUCCUGGUGUAGCGGUGAAAUGAGCAGAUAUCAGGAGGAACACCGAUGGCGAAGGCAGGUCUCUGGGCCACUACUGACGCUGAGAAGCGAAAGCAUGGGGAGCGAACAGGAUUAGAUACU
rnacentral:rRNA from 1 species